AAACACAGCCGCCGCCACUGCCCGAAUGCACCACAAAGAAGGCAGGACCCUGGAGAGUUAAUGGGAAACUGGAUGAAAGGAACCUGAGUAGAGAGCCCACCUUGCUGACGUGGACCUCAACGAGAGGGAAAUAAGAGAGAGAGAAAACAAGCAGUGGGAGCGACUGGCAGAGGGAGAGGGAGAAGCAGGCUUCCUGCUGAACAGGGAGCCUGAUGCGGGGGCUGGAUCCCAGGACCCCUGGGAUCGCGACCUGAGCUGAAGGCAGACGCUUCACCGACUGAGCUGCCAAGAAUGCGAGCAAGCACAAGCGGGGGAGCAGCAGGAAGAGGGAGAAGGAGGCCCCCACCACCAAGCAAGGUGCCCGAUGAGGGGGACCCGAUCUCAGGACCACGGGAUGACAACCUGAGCUGAAGGCAGAUGGCCAACCGACUGAGCCACCCAGGCAUCCUGAAGUUGACCUACUGUCAGAAGACCAGAUAAGACUGGAGCAAACGAGCAAGAAGUCCUACAGCCCCACACACCGGGAGAGCUCCCCAGCACGGUCACACGCGUGCCGCCAUCUUUUGCGCAUACGGACGUAAGUGCCCGGAUGUCACUGGAUGGCGCCGUGCGCAAAAGCAGUUGAGAUCAUCCCUCUUACUUCUCCUUUCCCAACGUCCAAUCACCUGCUUCUACGUUUCAGAUCUCCACCCCCUUGUAAAAUCCAUAAAUGCUCAGCUCCCCUUGUCCUCGGGGAAGGCGGAGUUUAGAAAUUUCCUCCUUACUCCUGUAAUAAAACCCUUUAUC